rnacentral:rRNA from 1 species
UGCAGCUCUAAGUGGGUGGUAAAUUCCAUCUAAAGCUAAAUAUUGGCGAGAGACCGAUAGCGAACAAGUACAGUGAUGGAAAGAUGAAAAGAACUUUGAAAAGAGAGUGAAAAAGUACGUGAAAUUGUUGAAAGGGAAGGGCUUGAGAUCAGACUUGGUAUUUUGUAUGUUACUCUCUCGGGGGUGGCCUCUACAGUUUACCGGGCCAGCAUCAGUUUGAGCGGUAGGAUAAGUGCAAAGAAAUGUGGCACUGCUUCGGUAGUGUGUUAUAGUCUUUGUCGA